UGGAAAAUGUGAGAGUAAAGCCAUGCUUAAGGGAGCCAUAUCCUAAUAAAACCCAAGGUCACAACAAGUGAUGACCAAAACAUCUCCAAUCACAACUCAACUCCACAAAUGUUCACCAAACAAUCAUAUAUAUAACACAAUCCCAACACUUACAUAUUCACUCACAAAAUAUGAUAAUAUGGAAUAGAGUGAAUUAAAACAAACUUUG